AUGGCCAAAUCAGUUGUUAGUGCCGUGCUUAGCAAUGUUAGCACACUUGCGGUUCAGGAGACCACGCUCCUGUGUGGAGUCACCCGAGAAGUGGAGUUCCUGAAAGAUGACCUCAAUUCGCUGCAAGGCUUCCUUAGGGAUGCCGACAACAAACAGAGGAUGGGAGAUUCGGGUGUUUCUAUCUUGGUGAGUCAGAUCAGAGAUGCGGCGUAUGAGGCCGACAAUGUCAUCGAAGCCGUUGAGUACAUGCACAGGAGAAACAGGCUCAAGAAAGGAUUCAUGGGUGCCAUUUCAAGGUAUGCUCGCCUACCAACUGAUUUGAGUACCCUUCACAAAGUUGGGUUUGAAAUCAAACGUAUAAGAAGAAAGAUAUCUGAGAUAUUUGAGCGUGCAAACCGUUUGAAGAUAGUUCUUGAUUUGAGCCAUACCUCCAUAGAAAAAAUUGAUGUUGAUGAUGAAUUACAACAAGAUUAUGGUCCUAUUCAUCAAAAGUUUGAAGAUGUUGUUAUGGUUGGUUUCGAGGAUGAGUACAAAGAAAUAGUGGGGAAGUUAGUUGACACAAAGAAGAGUCUUGGUGCUAUCUCCAUCGUUGCUAUGGGUGGUGCGGGGAAAAUAACACUUGCUAGAAAAGUAUACACUUCGUCUAGAGUGAAACAACACUUUGGCACAAUCGCUUGGGUUACAGUAUCUCAAAAGUACAAGGGCAUUGAUUUACUAAAGGAUAUUAUGAAACAAAUUAUGGGGGAUACUGAUGAGUCUACUAGUAAACUUAGUGAACAUGAGGUUGGACAGAAGAUUCAUGAUUUUCUGUUGCAAACAAGGUACUUAGUAGUUCUUGAUGAUGUGUGGGAAACAGAUACAUGGGAGCAACUAAAUAGAAAGGUUAAAGCCUUUCCAGAUGCAACUAAUGGUAGUAGAGUACUAUUAACAACACGAAAGGAAGAUGUUGCAAAUCAUGUUCAAAUGGCAACCUAUAUUCAUCAUCUAAAGAAGUUAGAUGAAAAGAAAAGCUGGGAGAUUUUUAGUAGCAAAGCUUUACCACCAUACAAAAUGUCUGUAAUAUGUGAUGUGGAUGAGUUUGAAAAACUUGGGAGAAAGCUUGCAAAGAAAUGUGAUGGAUUACCACUUGCCCUUGCAGUUUUGGGGGGGUAUCUAUCAAAGAAUUUGAAUGUAGAAGCAUGGUCUAAUAUACUCUUGGAUUGGCCAUCAACCAAAGAUGGGCAAAUGAUGCGAGUAAUACUAGCUCGUAGUUACAAGGAUCUUCCAAAUCAUUAUUUGAGAUCUUGUUUUCUCUAUUUUGCUGGUUUCCCUGAGGAUUACAUAAUAUCUGUGUCGGAUCUUAUCGAAUUAUGGAUAGGAGAAAGCUUCAUUCCACACAUAAGAAAUCAUCAACUAGAAGAAACAGCACAUAAGUACGUGAAGGAGUUGGCUCAGAGAAGCUUGGUUCAAGUUGUUGGAGUAAGCACGGUACAUGGACGGAUCGAAGCAAUAAGGAUUCAUGAUAUCUUACAUGACUGGUGCAUAGAAGAAGCAAAACAAGAUGGUUUUCUUUGUGCCAUUGACAAAACUGCAGGGCAUGCCUAUACACCAUCAUCGGAUAACAUUAUAUCUUAUCGUUAUCAAUUUCAGACUUUGAGUGGUGAUAUUUUAACAACAACACCUAAUGCCCGAAGUCUUCUUGGCUUCGACGCAACUGUGUCCCUUCCUGAGCUGAGAUUCCUGAGAGUUCUUUGCAUUGAAGAGUCAAAACUACAAGAUUUCUCUAGUCUAAUUGGUGGGUGCAUUCACCUAAGAUUGCUUAGGUUGAAAAAUUGUGGGCCUAUCACACUCCCUUCAUCAAUUGGAAAUCUCCUUUACUUGCAGACCAUAGAUGUAAGAGACACACCACUGUUGGGACAUGUACCAAAAUCCCUCUGGGGUAUCUCUACUCUUAGGCAUGUUUACCUACACGGUGCUUGGUUUUCUCCACCACCACCUACAAGUAGUGUGCGACGGCAGCAGAAAGAGCUCCAGACCAUUGAUUUAAAUCUUGGAAAUGUUAUAACUAAUUUCCACAAUCAUGACAUGGUGGUUUUCUUCAGCCAGAUGAAUCAACUAACAAACUUCUCCUUGUCGAAGAACCACAUACCCAAGGAGCUGAUUUGCAUAUUUGCAAACAUGCCUCACCUUGUUGAUAUUUAUCUCUCCAAAUUUGGUGUACUUGAUAACUUUCCCACUGAGUUCCCACAAAGCCUACGACGUCUUGUUCUAUGUGCUAAUGUCAUAAUAGAAGACCCGAUGCCGAGCCUGGAGAAGCUUCCUUGUCUUGUGGUGCUGGAGUUGAGGGGGUACAAUGGUGAAACUAUGAGUUGUUGUGUCGAAGGGUUUCCUCGGCUGCAAGAGUUAAAACUUGUUGAUUUUUUGACUGCUGAGUGGAGGAUGGAGGAUGGAGCAAUGCCAAAGCUUUUCCACUUGACACUUCAGGAAUGCGAGAAGCUCAGGAAGCUCCCAGAGGGGUUGCUUCACCUUCCGUCCCUCAGUCACCUAGAACUGGGCGCUAUGCCCCAGAUUUCUGAAGAGGACAUCACACUAAAGGGGCUGUGGCGGAAAGGGUGCAUGGUACGUACUCACGCAACUUCAGUUUAG
rnacentral:rRNA from 1 species